ensembl:lncRNA
CCAGCGGGUGUGUGGGCGGUAGCGUUACACAGUCGCUCCACCUCAAGUCACUACUGCGCAGACUCUGGCUCCAAAUUUGCAAGAUGGCAGCCUCCACAAGCGGGAUAUUUUGGCUUCAUUUUUGCACAAUGGUAGGAGGCGGAGUCGCGUCGUCCAUGUUUUCUACAGUCAAUGAUCAGGACCGUUAGGAAGAUCAAAAUUAUUUAUCUAAACAAAGCGAACAGUAAUUUAAGCCGUAGGAUAUUUCCAGGUACUGUGAGAGGAGGCUUUGGAACCGAACCAGAGAACUGCUGUCACGGCAUGGACGAGUUUGACGAUGCCAUACUGUCUGCGUUGCAGGCUGCGAAUAUUGACGAGGAAGCUUUGAGAAGCUUUACCCGGGAUGACCUAAAGGAUCUUUUUCCGGGCCAUGAAAAUUUCUUCCGGAGAAAGAAGAUUUGGGGUUUUAUCAGCCAAAAGGUAAAUACACAUUAUACCACUAAGAAGAUGAUUACUGUUGUGGAAUUACAGGGAUUAUUUUACAUAACCAUCAUCUUAUCAUUGCAUUAAUUAUCAUUUCAUCAAAGUGUUUAUUGAAGCUGCUGGCAUUAUGGUAUAAUUUAUAUUAUAGGGG